rnacentral:rRNA from 1 species
GAUGAACGCUAGCGGCAGGCCUAAUACAUGCAAGUCGAACGGUGUCUUCGGACAUAGUGGCGCACGGGUGCGUAACACGUAUGCAACCUACCUUACAUUGGGGGAUAGCCUUUCGAAAGGGAGAUUAAUACCGCAUAAGACAGUAGCUGGGCAUCCAGCAGCUGUUAAAGAUUUAUCGAUGUAAGCUGGGCAUGCGUCCAAUUAGCUAGUUGGUGAGGUAACGGCUCACCAAGGCAAUGAUUGGUAGGGGAACUGAGAGGUCAAUCCCCCACACUGGCACUGAGAUACGGGCCAGACUCCUACGGGAGGCAGCAGUAGGGAAUAUUGGGCAAUGGACGCAAGUCUGACCCAGCCAUGCCGCGUGCAGGAAGAAGGCGUUAUGCGUUGUAAACUGCUUUUAUAUAGGAAGAAACAGCCCUUGCGAGGGACAUUGACGGUACUAUAUGAAUAAGCACCGGCUAACUCCGUG